rnacentral:rRNA from 1 species
GAUGAACGCUGGCGGUGUGCCUAAUACAUGCAAGUCGUGCGGCAGCGAGCCCUUCGGGGUGUCGGCGAGCGGCGGACGGCUGAGUAACACGUAGGAACGUACCCCAAAGUGAGGGAUAACUGCUCGAAAGAGUAGCUAAUACCGCAUGUGGUCUAAGGAUUAAAGCUUCGGCGCUUUGGGAACGGCCUGCGUUCGAUUAGCUAGUUGGUAAGGUAAAAGCUUACCAAGGCGACGAUCGAUAGCUGGUCUGAGAGGAUGAUCAGCCAGACUGGGACUGAGACACGGCCCAGACUCCUACGGGAGGCAGCAGUAGGGAAUUUUCCACAAUGGGCGAAAGCCUGAUGGAGCAACACCGCGUGCAGGAUGAAGGCCCUUGGGUUGUAAACUGCUUUUAUGUGUGACGAUUAUGACGGUAACACAUGAAUAAGGAUCGGCUAACUCCGUGCCAGCAGCCGCCGUAAAAC